GAUGAACGCUGGCGGCGUGCCUAAUACAUGCAAGUCGAACGAAACUUCUUUAUCACCGAGUGCUUGCACUCACCGAUAAAGAGUUGAGUGGCGAACGGGUGAGUAACACGUGGGCAACCUGCCCAAAAGAGGGGGAUAACACUUCGAAACAGGUGCUAAUACCGCAUAACCAUAGUUACCGCAUGGUAUCUCUGUAAAAGGUGGCUAUACUACCGCUUUUGGAUGGGUCCGCGGCGCAUUAGCUAGUUGGUAGGGUAAAGGCUUACCAAGGCAAUGAUGCGUAGCCGAAUUGAGAGGUUGAUCGGCCACAUUGGGACUGAGACACGGCCCAAACUCCUACGGGAGGCAGCAGUGGGGAAUCUUCCACAAUGGGCGAAAGCCUGAUGGAGCAACGCCGCGUGGGUGAAGAAGGUCUUCGGAUCGUAAAACCCUGUUGUUAGAGAAGAAAGUGCGUGAGAGUAACUGUUCACGUUUCGACGGUAUCUAAACAGAAAGCCACGGCUAACUACGUG
rnacentral:rRNA from 1 species